UACGUAGGUGGCAAGCGUUGUCCGGAAUUACUGGGUGUAAAGCGCGUGUAGGCGGCAGACCAAGUCGGCGGUGAAAGCGCCCGGCUCAACUGGGCGAGGUCCGUGGAAACUGGUCAGCUGGAGGACGGUAGAGGCGAGUGGAAUUCCCGGUGUAGUGGUGAAAUGCGUAGAUAUUCGCAAGAACACCAGUGGCGAAGGCGGCUCACUGGCCCGGUACUGACGCUGAGGCACGAAAGCGUGGGGAGCAAACAGG
rnacentral:rRNA from 1 species